UUUAAAAAGAAUUUGCGAAAAAAAGGUUAAAAUAAUAAAAUAAAAUGAAAUACAUUGUAAAAAACCAUAUAUUUAUAAAAUUCUAAUAAGAUUAUUUCAUAGAAAUAUCCAUUCGCAAUAUUAAAUAAUAAUAAUAACGCGUAAUUCAAACCUAAAUAUAUUAAAACUUUUACAAUUUUAUUUAGCGUAAAAAAUAAAAAUAUUUUUUGGUUUUAUUAAUAUAAUUUAACAAAUUAAACGAUAUUCUUCCAAUAAAAUUUUACCAAUUAUAAAAACCCAGGAACCAAAACAAUUACCAAAUUAUAUUUUGCGCAAAAUUCAAAAUUAAAAAAAAUUGUAACAUGGAAAACAUUAUUAAUAUAUACAAAGUUUAAUAUUUAUUAUUAUUUAAUUUAGAAAUUUAACUACCAAACCUAAUAAUUGAUAAAUAACAAAAAUAAACUUAACUACAAAAAAUAAAAUAAAAUUAAUUUUACAAAAAUAUUGUAAAAAAUUAAACCAAAAGCAAAAAUUAUUAUUAUAAGACAAAAACGCAGAAAUUAAAUAUAUUAAAUAUAAAUAAAACCAAAGUUCUUCUAAAUUUAAUUAAUAUAACCAAAAUUUAUAAAACAAAAACCUAAAUUAAGCCUAAACCUAAUUUUAACGUUUAUUAAAUAAUUUUGAAAAAUACCCAAUUGUUUUUUAGGAAAUAACGUAAUCCAAAAUUAAUUUUUUUUCUGAAAAAAUUAAAAACGAAAAAAAAGUAAAACGGGAAAAUAUAUAACUUUUAUAAAAAUAUUAUAAUUUUGCUAAAAAAUAGGCCGAAAAUAAAUAACACGGUUUUUAUUAAAUUGCGGACGCUUGCUUUUAUUAAUAAAAUGGCGAAACAAUUAAAUUACCACCAUCCGGGCGCUGGAAAUACGGAAAGAUUUAUUUAAAAUCGCAAAUCUGCGUUUUUUUACCAUUUGAUGCGCGUAUCCCGAAUUAAAUAUGAUAAUAACGCCAAAUUUCCAAGAAUAAAGAAACAUUUUUAAAACGGGGCUAACGUAGGGGAACCACCGCAUUUUUACAAUUUAUUAAAAAAACAAUUAAUAUAAGUUUAAAAUUAGGUAAUUGUCAAAAGAAGCCAAAUAAUUUAAAAAAAACUAAUUAUAUUAUCGGGAAUAAGAAUUUAUUAUCAACGGAUACUAACUCGCGAAAAAACAAUAGAUUCCCACCAACGCCAUCUUUUGCUAUUUUUAUUAUAAUUAUUCCUUUUGAAAUUUUAUAUUCCUUAUUCGAAAAAUACGGUAAUGGGUAAGUACACACGUAAAUUAAAAAACAACGAAAAUAUAAAACGCAAUAUAUUAUUAAACCGUUUGGAAAAAACAAAAAUUUAAUUGAAAUUCUUUAUAUAUAAAAACGCCAAAAUUGACCAAAUUAAAAAACGUAAUUUUUAUAAUUUUAAAAUAAUAAUUUCUGGCCCUUUUGAUUUUAUUUGAAACCCGCAGAUAAUUAGGUUAAUUUUUAAACAGGCUAAUUUGGCCAAAACGUUUGUGUUUUUAAUUUUCAAAAUAUUCCGUAAAUAAUAUAAAAUUCACCAAAACGCCAAAUAAUUUUCUUCACUCUUUGGGUAAUUUUCUACCAGCGUAAAAUUGGGUAAGGAAGUUUAUAUUAUAUUACGUAAAUAAAGAAGUCGGCAAUAUUAUUAAUUACAAUUGCAAUUUUUAUAUGUAAAUUGAUAAAACGAUUGAUAAAUUGUUAAAAAAAAUCAAAGCGCAAAAAUAACGCAUUUUAUUAAUUUGCAAAUAUAAAAGUUCUUUUAAAAUAAAAGCAAAAUUUACUUAUUUUACCCCUUUUUAAAAACGGGUUUUUAAACAUAUUUCAAAUCGGGGAAAUUUUUGGUAGUUUGAAUUUUUUUUUGACGGGACCAAAACUUUAUAUAAAUGGUGGGGUUAUGGAUUAUACUAAUCUUAACGCUAAUUAUAGCAAAGACUUGGAAAUUGCGGGCGUUUUUGUGGAUAAUAUUUGUAAUAGAACCAAAUGCAAAAAGAUGUAAUAAAAGCGGGUAGUAAAAAGCUAAUUUAAUAUAAAGAAACGCGAACAAAACGCAAAGAUAACGCAAACGAAAAAAUAAUAGUAUUUCGUAAUGGAAGUAAAAACAAACGAAAGAAAUUAAUUAAAAGUUUUUUCGUUAAAAAUUCAAAAGGUAUUAAAUAUAUAAACAAAGUGGGGUUUAUAAAUUAAUAACGUUAUAACCCAUUUUUUGGAACAAAUACCGCCUAUUACCAAUAAGGAUCCACGCGGAAUAAUUGUUUUUCAUUUGCGUUUAUUAAAAGAUAUUCCGCUUUAAAUUCAAAAUCGUUAUUUAGAAUAAAAACGUUUUUAUUAGGAGGGAUAAUUAUUAUUUGCAAAUUUAUUUAUAUUAAAAUAUCAAAGUAUAGUUUUAAACGUCGAAUUUUGUUAAAUUUUGUAAAUUCGUACUACGUACAUAUAAUAGGAACGCGGUUUAUAAAUAAAGGUUUUCAAGUUUUUAAGGUUGCACGUUAAUUAUAAAUUUAGAAAUUUGAUUUUAUUUGUUUAAUUAUUAUUAUUAUAAUAUAAUCGUGGACUGUUAUACGUUAUAUUAUUACCCUGUAUUUUUAUUGGUUAGCGUGUACCUAGUUAAUAUUUAUCCCCAGUUGUAACAAAUAAACGUUUUAAUAAGGAAGUUUUAAUGGAAAACAUGCAAUUUAUUUUUCAAAAUUAUAUUAAUUAAUUAUAAACAAUUUUAAUUAUUUAUAAAAACCUCGCUUUUACAUUUCAAUGUAUUUUUAUUAAGAUUAUUUUGCGUUAGUAAUAGUAGUGUAAAAGUCGAAUUCCCGUUAGUAGUUUGGAAUGCGGCGGUUGAAUAAACUUUAAUUAUUUAAAAAUAAAAAAUAAACAUUUGUACUUAAAUUAAUAUCUUCCCUCUAUGUUUUCAAUUAAUAUUAACGUUUUAUUAGCUUUAAUAAAUAUUAUUAAUACUAUUAUCAAAGGUAUAAUAAUAAUUACAUUUUCGGCGAUGUUUAUUUCAAGUUAUUAUUAUAAAUUCUAUUAUUAUAUUUGGAACUUUUUAUCUUAUUAAUCAAUUCUUUGUUGUUUUUAAUAUUAAUACUUUUUUUUAAAUUCCUAUAAAUUCGUUUCAAAAAAAUGGCUUGCUAGUAAAAUUAAAAUUAGUACUAAUAUUAUUAAUUUAACGGGACUUUAUAUAUAAUAUUUUAAUAACUAAUUUCAAUAGUCUUUUUAUAAUCCCAACGGAUAUUUCCGUAAUUAAAUUUCCGCAAUUAUUAAUUUUAUUUCCCAUACGUUUAAAUUUCUUUUUAAUUAACUUUUUUAAUUUUAACCUUGAAUAUUUUUACGGGUUUAUUAAAAUAUUAUAUUACCGAUUUGAUUUAACGGUUAUUAUUUCAAUGCCUCCCCAAUUUUACAAAAGAUUAAUCAAAACUGCUAUUAGAACUCGUGGUCCGGAAGUGGGCAGGGCCCUGAAGUGGUUAUUUCUCUUUUGCUCUUUUAAACUUUAUAACAAUCUAAUCCAAUACGAAGUUUAAGCCAAAUUUGAUACGUAUAGAAGACUAAACAGCUGCUUUUUAAUAGCCUAGUAAAUAUAUUUGUAACGCUAAUAAUAAUAGGAAAAUUGAGCAUAAUAUACAUUUGCUGAUUUUAUUAUUUAAAAUGCGAAUUGAAAUGCAAUAAAUAUAGGGUAAAACCCAUUAAAUAAAUUAAGUUUUAAAUAGUCUUGGGGUUUUAAAUUGGGCUUAUAAUAUAUUCGGUUCAUUUUCUAAAGUUUUUCCUAAAAUAAAAAUUAUAAAAACUUAUAUUAAAUUAUAAUUUAAUUUAU
rnacentral:sRNA from 1 species